UUCAGACAUCGCUCUUAGACGAGAGUGAUAAUUGUCGAUUUGCCAAACAAAUUGUACAAAAACAAAUAAGAUCGAAAGGACAAAGCUUUUUGCUCCUUUUUUCAACUUUUCUUGGUUCUGUUUUGUUCUCUUUGGUUCUAUUCCCCUCAGUGAAUCUUUCUAGCUGCGAUAUUUUUUUUUUUGGAUUUUCUUAUCCGGUACGGGGUUUCCGGUUCAUCUUCUAUCGUCAUUUGCUGUUGCCUAAAUCUUAUGGGAAACUGAGCAGGUUCGUGUCCUAGCAUCAUCUCCUUUGACUCGUUUUAUCUCUAUGCAAAGUCUUUUUUUUUUUACAAUCUCAGGGGAUGCGCUAUUUGCGUUGAGGGAUUUAGUUACGUGCAUUGCCUAAUCAACUCAGUGACUGGAAUCAGAAUCAAGUGAAUCCUUGCAUUUGGUCCCAAGUCAUUUGUGAUGACAAAAACUUUGUCACUUCUCUGUUCGCCUGAAGACAGACUAGUGAUGUCUGAAGUUGCACGGAUGUUAGAAGGAGAAGAGCUUGCAGAGAGAUGGGAAGAGUGGUAAAAAGUGGAAGUCACGAGAUGUCAUGAGUUCGAGAGGUUGCAGAGUGAGAGGAGGUUUGAUUGGGGUGAAGAUUCUAGAAGUACUUUUCUUCUAUGAAUAAUCAAGAUGCCAUUGAAUUAAUUACCAGGUGGAAGAUGACCAAAUAUCAAAUCUUGAUUUUACUGGAAAGCUGUAUACAUGGGCUAUCUUUGACUUGAAUCCUGUGAAAGAGAAUGGCCCUAAUGUUUGAUUGUUGCCUGUUCUUUGAACAUAAUUUUAUUUGACUUUUUUUCGUUGA